rnacentral:misc_RNA from 1 species
UACGGACCCAAUCAACAAUGAAAGGUUAUUAAUUUAGCUGGACAAUGUUGUGUUGGUGCUCACUAGAGGUCUUUAGACUUUUGGUGGAUUUGAGUGUUCAGUCAUCAUUUUUUGAUUGAUCACUUGAAAUGUAUUGGUGUCGUCUAGCUGACAGUCGCCGCGUAAGCAUUGUUAAUCAUCUUUAUUGAUGUUCCUUGCUAUUACAUGGACCAACGACAAUAAGCAUUUAUUAGUACGAUCCAAGCACAAACUCCAAAUACUUGUAUUUAACCA